AGGUGGUUGGGGCCACAGGAUGUUGGAAACCUCGGAGAUAAUCUGUGAACAUCCUCCUCCUCUAGGUGAGGAUAUAUACCCAGAGAAGAGAACUACAUGGAUCCCUGAACUGGAAGAAUAGGCUGGUGAACAGAGGACAGAUCGAUGUGAGUUUUCAAGACUAGGCGGUGCACUCUGCAAGAUGAGGACACUAAGGCACAGAAGGGUUAAUUAUCUUUUCAAGGACACAGAGCUGGCAAGAGGAUGCUUUUCCUUAGAGAAUUGCCCCUCCCCCAAACUGUCCCAGAGGCACUGUCAGUCACAUGGCCACCAGCUUCCCUACUGCAGGGCCUGCAGAGUUUUCCAUAUCCCCAUGCAAGAUAUUCUGCUUCAGGCAACUCAUGGAAUAGCAACACCCAGCUAGAGAGCUCCAGGGACCAAUGGAGAUGCCAAACAUAAGAAGAAAAUCAUCACAGACAUUUUUAUUUUUAACCUAGAAGCAAAGUGGUUACUAACGCAUAGAUCCCAGAUUUCAAAAUAUGAUAACAACAUGUAGAAGAAAUCCUAGACACAGUCGAGAAAGUUGGGCAAGAAAUAUUUGGCAGAAAGAAUAAAAUCUGUAGGAUCAUAGAAAGUCCACCGGAAGUUAUGGCCUGAGAUGCAUACCUAUUCCGUAGUAGGAUUUGUCUGGUAUUAAGAAUUCUUAUGUACUGCAACAAUGAUCAAUUUAUCACCUCUCAACUCCCGAUCUAAGUGUUCAUCACCUGCUUUGCAGCCAGCAUGAUACUGAACUCGUCAGUAGAGGGCGCUGGAGGGACAUUAUAGGAGGUAAGCAUUUGUUUUCUGGUUCCUUCGUGUUGUCAGUUUUUUCCUCCUACUCCUGCAUUGCUUCCAGAGGCACUGUGUCCCAUCAUUGCACCCAACACACACAGUCUCCCCGCAAACCCAUUGCCUCAGUCUCAACCUGGUGACCACCUCACACACUGUGACCCUGUUGAUGUGGACCCUAUGUGGCCCAGGGUGCCCCCACCCUGCCAGUAAGCAGGCUCCCAGUGCCUGGCUGGGAGUGCUUCUGCUUGCCCAAUGACUGUGAACUCACUCUCGUGGGGCAAUGGAAUGAAAGAACUCCACCAUCCAGUGGGUCCAAAUAUACCUCUGCAAUAAGUCUGAAUACCAGCCUUAGGAAGCCAGCCCCCUUUCCUUCCUUUUUGUUCCUUUGAGUUCUCUCCCUCAGCCCUAGGGUAUUCUUUAGAACAGGGAUCAGAAACUUCAUCCUCCUGCUGGUUUUUAUAAAUAAAGAUUUAUCAGAACACACCCAUGCUCAUUCAUUUAUAUUUUGUCUCUGGUUGCUUUGAUGCUACAAUGCAAAAUUGAACAGUUCCAACGGAGACCUGAUGGUUCACAAAUCUAAAAUAUUUAAUCUGGGCCUUUUAAAGAAAAAGUUUGCUGACUCCUGCCUUACAGUUCUUUGUCUUCUAUAGUUUACUCCAUUGUUACAGUUAAUAAUUCUUUAUGUUAAAAUGCCCUUGUUCAAAUUACUGUGUGGUUUCCGUCUCCUAAUUGUACCUUACU